rnacentral:rRNA from 1 species
GAUGAACGCUAGCGGCAGGCUUAAUACAUGCAAGUCGAGGGGCAGCAUGAUUGUAGCAUUACAAUUGAUGGCGACCGGCAAACGGGUGCGGAACACGUACACAACCUUCCAACAAGUGGGGGAUAGCCCAGAGAAAUUUGGAUUAAUACCCCGUAACAUAGCGAUGUGGCAUCACAUUGCUAUUAUAGAUUUUUCGCUUGUUGAUGGGUGUGCGGCUGAUUAGAUAGUUGGCGGGGUAACGGCCCACCAAGUCUACGAUCAGUAGCUGAUGGGAGAGGAUGAUCAGCCACACGGGCACUGAGGCACGGGCCCGACUCAUACGGGAGGCAGCAGUAAGGAAUAUUGGACAAUGGACGCAAGUCUGAUCCAGCCAUGCCGCGUGAAGGAUUAAGGUCCUCUGGAUUGUAAACUUCUUUUAUAAGGGACGAAAAAAGGCUUUUCUAAGUCGUCUGACGGUACCUUAUGAAUAAGCACCGGCUAACUCCGUGCCAGCCGCCGCCGUAAAAC